UUGAAAAUCAAAUAAUCAAUAAGGUAAGAAGUACGCCAAGCCCAAGUCUGAACCUCAAGGACAGGCGGUGUUACUAAGGUGCGUGCCUACCAGUUGAGGCAAAGAGGCGCAAAGCACAAAAAGGGCAUGCCUCGUAAACCUUCACCUCUGGCGAGGCGAAUGUCCUGAUCCAUUAGAAUCCGGCAUUAAUGCAUUGAAAAGUCAAUGGAAUUUCCAUCUCUGCCAUGGUGUUAAAUAACGGAAUAUUUACAGGUUUUUUAGCCUUUUGUUAACUUGAAAUCCGUGAUUUCAAGGGCAGAAAAAAUGUACCUGUAACGGCUGUAACAGCCUUUACGUAACGACA
rnacentral:misc_RNA from 1 species